rnacentral:lncRNA from 1 species
AUGCGAGGCCCUGCCCCCGUACCCCCGCCGUCAUCGUCUGGAGGAGCCCACCAUCACAGCCGGGGGAGCGGGGCUCCACUCCCCCCAGAAGUGGAAGACAGCAUCCCGGAGCCUGUUGUCGUGGUGGGGCGGACCUGGGCAGGGGACUUUUGUCAUGUUUCUGUCACUGUUGAGGGGGUGGCCUGUUUGGCUUUAGUCGAUACAGGGUCUACAGUGACCCUGGUGAGGCCAGACAUUUUGCCAAACUGGACAGUAGUCCCACCUACAACUGUGCAGCUCCGCACAGUCACGGGGGAGAGGGCUCCCAUGAAAGGGAAGGGGUUGUUGUCCAUCAGGGUGGGGGAAAAGACUGUCCUCCACCCAGUGUGGGUAGCAGCUGUGCAGGUCCCCUGUAUCCCAGGGCUGGACUUCCUGCGGUGCAUAGGCUGCCAGCUGGACCUGGAGAGGGGGGCUUUUGGCUUCCAAGGAGGGCCCACAGUCUAUAUGGCCCCGCCAAACACCUCCUACAUCCGGCCCCCACCGACAACAGCUCAGAUGGACCAGUCACACGUCCCCGGCCCCCUUUACCCCCUUGCAAAGACCUUCCAACCACCCUUUCUUCCCGAUCCCUGUCCAUUGACCAAGUCCUCCUUCCGGAAUCCUUCCCCCUCCCUCCCACCCCCUCGUGUCAAUGUUUCGGCCCCUGCAGACUACUCCCUUGCCACCCCGGCAUCCCACUCCAUGAGCCUGGGCCCCUUCCCCUGCCCUGCCCAGCUUCCCCAGACAGGUGAGGAGACUGUGCUGUCUACACUGCGGGCAAUUUGGCAGAGGCACUGUGAUGGACUGGACCCUCAACAGCAGGAGCAGCUGUGGCGACUACUGGCGGAGUUUAAGGACAGCUUUGCCUUGAAUGAGAGCAAUGUGGGUCAAACGCACCUGGUGCAGCAUGAAAUCGACGCUGGGGAUGCCAGGCCCAUCAGAAUGCGACUGCGUCGCCUGCCCUUGGCCCGCCAGGAGGCUGCGGACCGGGCAUUGUGGGAGAUGCAGCAGGCAGGCUUCAUAGAACCCUCAGAUAGUCCCUGGGCAGCAGCCUUGGUGAUGGUGCCUAAGAAAGGGGGUAAGUGGAGAUUCUGUGUCGACUACAGGCCACUUAACGCAGUAACAAGGAAGGACUCCUACCCCAUUGAUGAAGCCUUAGAUGUCGUAGCUGGGUCGUCCUGGUUCUCCUCGCUCGAUCUCCGCUCUGGCUACUUCCAGUUCCCUCUCGCCCUUGAUGCCAGACCAAAGACUGCAUUCUGCACUAGCAGAGGAUUUUUUGGCAGUUUCGGGUCCUCGCUUUUGGCCUCUGCAAUGCACCUGCGACCUUCGAGAGGCUGA